rnacentral:rRNA from 1 species
GAUGAACGCUAGCGACAGGCCUAACACAUGCAAGUCGAGGGGCAGCACAUGCGUAGCAAUACAAUGGUGGCGACCGGCGCACGGGUGAGUAACACGUAUGCAACCUGCCUGUAAGAGGGGAAUAACCCGGAGAAAUUCGGACUAAUACCGCAUAAUACCACGAGACUGCAUGGUUUUGUGGUUAAACAUUUAUGGCUUACAGAUGGGCAUGCGUAUGAUUAGCUAGUUGGUGAGGUAACGGCUCACCAAGGCAACGAUCAUUAGGGGUUCUGAGAGGAAGGUCCCCCACACUGGUACUGAGACACGGACCAGACUCCUACGGGUGGCAG